UCCGAUUCUUUCAUGGCACGCACACAUACAAGUCUCAACAUAUAGACUAGAUCGAGUAGAUCGCUCCUGCCAUAAAUUGGCAAAAUAAACUUCAGCCUGAGCUGUUUUCUACCUGCUCCAUCUCUCCCUUGUGUGGGAGUUUGCUGACCCAUUGUCACACUCACGGUUGUGUAUUUGAGUGAACGUGUAUACAUAUCCAGAUGUGUAAUGCUGUGCACUUUGCCUGGUUGUGCAACCAGUGUGAAUCAUUGGGCAACAGGUCAUAAAAAUAGUUAUUCAAAGGAGCACUACAUAAGACACUGGACUUUGGAGAACUCCACAAGAAAGAUUGCGCAGCUGUAUCUGCGGUAAUGUGCGUCAGUUUCAUUACCGGGAGAAAUGAAUGCAGCGCAACUGAAACAGAGAAUGGGAAGACAAGAGAGAGAGAGAGAGAGUGAUGUGAUCGCUCAUUUGAAGAGGGGAAACGACAAUGAACACUUGUCUGUUCUCUUUUUUUCUCUCUUUAUAGCUCUGAUUGUCAACGUGACUGGACGGAUUGAGAGGCAGAGAGAGAGAGAGAGAGAGGAAGACUGACAAAGAGGAGAGAGAGAUGGCGCUGUAUUGGUGGUCCAAUUGGUGCUUUCUGGGUCACAGGCGAUUGGAGCAUUGGAGGGAUGCUUGUAUGUCUUUGAAUGCAGUAUGACCAGUGAAAGAGGCUGUCAGGGCGAACGAGCACUGCCUAGGGCACAUUAUCCAACUUAAGAGCUGCAGAGAAAUGUUCGACUCCUGGUUUUCUUAUUGGAAAUGGUAAGUAUAAAUAAUAUCUCAUAUCAUGUAUCAUGUCAUAUAUCAUAAUAUCAUAUCUCAUAUCAUAUCAUGUAUCAGAUCAUGUAUCGUAUAUCAUAUCUCAUAUCAUACCAUAACAUACCCUUUAAGGAAAAAAAGUGGAAAAUGUCUGAAGAUUUCUGGGCUAAUAAUUUUUAUUCUCUUGUUCAGAAAAAAAAUCUUUAAAAUUAACUGUCACUUUGUGUGAAAAUCAUGGCUACAUUUCUCUCCUCUUAUCCAUGCUGAGUGACUUAGGCCAUUAAAUCAGGCACCUCCUGUGGAUUCCAGGGUGUGAGAAACUGAUAAUAAGGUGUAAUAAUACACCGUCAGUCAAAUGUGCGUGGGAUUCUUAGCAUUCAGAUGAGACCUUAUGCAAGCCACUAGAAGAAAGUAAAAGAAUGACAGUAGUGCACAGCAUUUUGCUACAGGCCGGAUACAA